rnacentral:lncRNA from 1 species
AAACAUUGUUCUUUAAACUGAAUUAAAUUAAAUGCAAUACCAUCCAAUUUAUGGUACCCCGCCUUGAACAAAUUGUAGUUUAUAGCUAAACCUUUUGAGCAAUGAAUAAAAACAAUACACACGUUAAAUUUACUUUCUCCUCCUUCAGGAAACAUAUUACCUAAUAAUUGACUACUGCCUGCAUUAGGUGAAUCGACAAAACAUGGUGCACAAAAAUAUCAUAACAGGUCAGUUGAGAAGAGCAAUCACGAGAUAAUUAUUUUCUUGCCAAGCAGCGUUGGAGAACUACCAUGUAAUUCUGCCCUCAGAACGCAUGGCGGAGAAGAGUAAAUUCAUAAAAACUCAUACAUAGAUAAAAUCAGAAAUUUGAGCGACAAAACGGGUAGGAGAAAAAUAUCUCAAAAUCACCACAUAUCUUUUUUCUUGCCAACCAGC